CCUCUUCCUGUUGCUACAAAUGCAAAAAGAAAAAAAAUUCCAGACAAUACUUCAGAAGAGUCAAAACGAGCAACAAGGAACAAAGACAUUUCAAAGCAGAAAAACAACUCAUUUCACCUGACCAACAUACUGUGCUGUGUACAGACCUCCAAAGAUGCCUUUUCCACAGUUUCUAACACUAUAUGGGGGCAAUAUGACCAAAAUGAGUAUAAUGACUUCACUUCCACUCAGCAUUUUGUUAGUGGGUUUGCAGGCAAUGACUGAUGUAAAAUUUUCAUGUCCGUGCAUUCAUAAGUGGAACAUAGCUAUAUUAUUUUUAAUCUUUGUUGCUCCUGCUUUUGUUGCUUUUGUUAUAAUGCUAUUUUUAUUAAGGCCUUGGAAAUAUGAAUGUGGAUGGAAUAAAUGGAAAUGUGGCUGUUGUGGA